UCUCUAGUGACAGUGGAAAGUUAAGUGGCCCACAGUUUGUUGUGACAUAUUCAGCAUUAUCUAUAGCCUAUAAAAUUUUUUGGUUCACUAGAUCCACUGCUUCAAACCCAAUUCUUUAAUCACCGAAGAGCUGUAGAUCCUAUAGGGUAGACGUAAAUUAUGUCUUGUAGGAAAUGAACAUCUACAUUUGUUGUUCCAGAAAGGUGCUUGGUACACAUAGCUCCUGUGUAUGAUAAACAAUUUUGUUUUGUUUUCUUUUGUUCUGUUUUAGGUAAUAUAUAGUUAUGUAUGGAAGAAAACUAUUCAAUCUUCCAUGGGUAUGUUAUGUAUUUAAUAUAAGUUAAUCUCGGUAUUUACUGAGAAAGAGUAAUCCACAUUGCAUUUGUAAAAGAUACAUGAAUUUAAAAAGUUAAAGCAUAAAUACCAGGAUUCUUUUCAAGUAAUUGAGUAUCUAGUGGCAAGCAUGCAAUAUGAUACAAUAUGCACUUGAACCAAAACCAUUCAAGAGGUGAUUGUUGUCUAAACAGAGAACUUGUAACUUAGUAAUAAGGCUAUAUAUCUUUUUUUAAAGCUGUUAAAAUGUAUGACUUCUUAGAUAUACUUUUUCUCACGAUCCACAAUAUGUGGUAUAUAUUGAUCAAUCUCAAGCCCGUGGGGGGGGGGGGGGCUGGUGACAUGGCUCAGCGGUUAAGAGCGCCGACUGCUCUUCCAAAGGUCCUGAGUUCAAAUCCCAGCAACCACAUGGUGGCUCACAACCAUCCGUAACGAAAUCUGAUGCCCUCUUCUGGAGUGUCUGAAGACAGCUACAGUGUAAUUACAUGUGAUAAAUAAAUUAAAAAAAAAAAAAAGAACAAAUCAAGCCCGUGGGGUUUUACUUCAGUGUUUCUUAAGAGCAGUUUAAAGUUCGAGCUCUUAUGGGUGAGCAUUUAAUCCAUCUUGAGUGGGGAUUUUUGCACACAUGACUUGAAUUGGGAAACUACACUCUUCUUUUUUAUGUGGGUAUUUGAUUUCCCCAGAAUUACUUAAAAUCUUUCAGAAAAAUCACUUAACCAUAAAGGGGAGGCUUUCAUACAGUCAAAGUAUCUAUUGAAUUUGGAAGAAAUUGCCUAUGGUGAAGCCCAGCACCAUGUGCAGUGAUUUACAACAAUAACGAAAUAUCAGUUUAAUAAACAACAUAUUUGCCUACAAAUCAACAAUAUGAGUUAUAAAAUAAGCUACUUCAGGUCUUCUUUUUCCUUAGGUCAACAUUUAUUUAAACCAGAGGUUGCAAACUAACCCUCAGACCAGAUGCAUAUGCUAUAAAUAAGUUUUGUUUAUUUAACCCAACCAUGACCAUUUGUUUCAGCUUGUCUGUGACUGCUUCAGGGUAAUUAUGAUAUAGAGCAUAAACCUAAGAAUCUAAAUUAGUCCUAGCUGGUCUCUUAAGAAUUUGUACCAAAUACUAUUCUAAUCAUAUCAAUAACUCUUUUGUGGUAUUUUAUUUUAUGAGAUUAAGCCUUCAUUUUAUGCUGGUGGCCAUCUUUUAGUUUCCUGUAAAAAUUAUCUUCAGUUUGGUAAUGUGUUAAUGAGAACAAAACAUUCACUUUAUUGGUCUAUUUCAUAGUCAACUCUUCUGAAAUAAAGUAUAUAGUAAAGUAAGAAUUAACUGUCUGGAAAUCAAUAUGGACUUGUGCAUUUGUUGUUAUUAAAGAUACUCCAUCCAAUGGAAGCUAAACACGUUUGAAUAUUUGUCAAUAGAUACCAGGGACAAUUAUUUACAACUGACUAUCUGAGACAUGGCAUUACUAUGCCAAAUACUUGUACCUGAAAAGUCAGGAAAACAGACAGCUAUAGUUUGACUUUGCACAGUUGUGCAUCUUUUAUAAACUGACUCCUGGAUUGAAUUCAUGAUCCAAAAAUAAAAGCUAAAAAGCUUCCGUUAGGGGAGCGGGGGAAACCGGGAAGUGUGUAGAGAAGGGAAACCAUAAUCAGGAUAUAUGACAAAUAAAAUGAAAAAGGAGGACUUAAGAAGAUGUGCAUCAUUAAAUAUUACACAGUGGCAACAUUACACUAUUACGAUAGACAUAUUUUCAUAGUUCACUUUUAAGUCCUUGAGAUAUUCAUAAGUGUCAUUUGUACCUUUAUUUUUUGGUAGGUUCUCUUGAGUUUUCAUGUGUUGUUGAGAAUUAGCGUAUAACUUUUCUUUUUUCUCUCCUAAAAAUAUUUCAAACCCAAAUUUCAAUUAUUGUGAAAGCAGAUAUUAAUAUAGAGCCAGUCUCUGCUGUGUUGUCAGUACAUAUUGCUUUCUAUACUGGGCACCAUGAAGUUGUGCCAGGAAUACUGCACACAGAUCAUCAGGGUGGACAAAGAAAGUUUAAUGCCAUCCCUACUGCAAUAGAAGCUCUCCUUCCUGUGAAUUGAAAUAACUUUCUAAAAUUGUGCCCCUUUAGCAUUGAACCACAAGUUGCAGAAUUACAGUGACCUGGCUAUGGAAAGUCCUACCUGUCCUUCCCUUUAUUUACUACUUAGCUUUUUCUGUCAUCUUGAGUUCUAGAAAAGACCCUGCCUCAAAUGCAGUAUAUCUCACAUUGAAUAACAUUUCUUCAGGAAAUGAGUUUCACAGACUUUCAGACAAUUUUGAGGAAAACAAAUGCUUCUUUGUUUUUUUAAAUACAACUUUAGUGUUACAGUUACUUUUUACAUCCAUAAAGAGUUGCAAAGGCUUAAGUAGCCCCAGUUCCCUGCUCCACCACUAUGUCAGUCUGGGUGAGAUAUUAGUUUACCUAUUUACAGGUAGAAAGGCAGAGAGACCAAAAGGGAAGGCCAGAUGGACUCUCUAGUCACUACACAGCUGAGGGGCCUGAUGGGAAAGACAGGGCUUAGAGGAAGUACAGAAAAGCAGUUGCAGCCUGGCUGACUUGCUUCGAUGUCCCCACAGGGCUAAUUCUGUAAAAUGUUUAGCACAGUGCUUGGUUCCCUCCACCCCCUACUAGAAAUUGUUUCUAGGAAUGAAAGAGUUGAAUUUUGUAUUACAGCUAAAUGUUCUGCCAUUAUAGCAACAUUUUUUCUGUUUUCAAAAUGGCAAGUCUUUCCCCAACUGGAUAAACCUCAGUACAAAGCUUCCUCCUCAGAGCCUUUAAGAGGUUUAUUGUGUAGACAAAGCAUGUGCUCUUCGCUGAGGGACUAUGGGUUGUUAAUCAGUGUUGAGCAAGGACUGUCAUUUUCUUCAGUGGUGUAACAACUGAUAAAUUGCUCAAACUCUAGUACACAAUCCCACUCGUGUUCACUCAGGCAACCAUAAUUAAACUCAGUAGAUAAAAAAAUAAAACAUCUCAUCAACGUAGAAGGAAGCUUGUUAGAAAGGGGAGUUUCAAUGGGAGAGCAAAGGGGAUGAGAGAGGGUAACAUGGAAUGAAAAUGACCCAAAUUCAGUAUGUAUGUGUAUGAAAUUGUC
rnacentral:lncRNA from 1 species